rnacentral:rRNA from 1 species
ACGAACGCUGGCGGCGUGCCUAAUACAUGCAAGUAGAACGCUGAAGGAGGAGCUUGCUUCUCUGGAUGAGUUGCGAACGGGUGAGUAACGCGUAGGUAACCUGCCUGGUAGCGGGGGAUAACUAUUGGAAACGAUAGCUAAUACCGCAUAAUAGUAGAUGUUGCAUGACAUUUGCUUAAAAGGUGCAAUUGCAUCACUACCAGAUGGACCUGCGUUGUAUUAGCUAGUUGGUGAGGUAACGGCUCACCAAGGCAACGAUACAUAGCCGACCUGAGAGGGUGAUCGGCCACACUGGGACUGAGACACGGCCCAGACUCCUACGGGAGGCAGCAGUAGGGAAUCUUCGGCAAUGGACGGAAGUCUGACCGAGCAACGCCGCGGGAGUGAAGAAGGGUGUCGGAUCGUAAAGCUCUGUUGUAAGAGAAGAACGAGUGUGAGAGUGGAAAGUUCACACUGUGACGGUAUCUUACCAGAAAGGGACGGCUAACUACGUG